rnacentral:rRNA from 1 species
CUACGGUGAAUACGUUCCCGGACCUUGUACACACCGCCCGUCAAGCCAUGGAAGCUGGGUGUACCUAAAGUCGGUAACCGCAAGGAACCGCCUAGGGUAAAACUAGUAACUGGGGCU